UCCGGUUUGUCACCGGCAGUCCCAUUAGAGUGCUCAACUGAAUGUAGCAACUAAUGGCAAGGGUUGCGCUCGUUGCGGGACUUAACCCAACAUCUCACGACACGAGCUGACGACAGCCAUGCAGCACCUGGACAUCCAGUUCCCUUGCGGGCACAUCCACGUCUCUGCGGACUUCUGGAGGGUUCCAACCCAGGUAAGGUUCUUCGCGUUGCGUCGAAUUGAACCACAUGCUCCACCGCUUGUGCGGGCUUCCGUCAAUUCCUUUGAGUUUUAGCCUUGCGGCCGUACUCCCCAGGCGGAGAACUUAACGCGUUAGCUACGACACCGAGAGGCAGACCCUCCCGACAUCCAGUUCUCAUCGUUUAUGGCGUGGACUAC
rnacentral:misc_RNA from 1 species